GGACUAUUUCGCGGAGCAGUACAUGUGCAGUAGCUCCGCCCCCGUAGCCUUCCCUUCAUUGCCAAGAAAAGUUGUCCUUGGGGGCGCUUUAGUUGUUUGACGGGUGCACGGUGCGCGCGGUUUGUGUGUGUGUGUGCCAUGCUGUGUUCUGCAAUGCUUCGUUACCACGUUUAUCGAUUAUGCACGUUGGUUACUUGAUUCAAUGUCAAGUGUACCUUCCAAGACGAUCUAGGUCCUAGUCUCGUGACUGAAGGCGAGUGCGGACGUACAGCAGCCUUUUGACAAGACUGUCGCCGAGUGUACGGUACAUUGUGGACUGUAAAGCUGAAGAGUGCACAGUGGAUGCAUGAUUUUGGUAAGUUCUAGAAUAUUUCUGAAUUACACAGCUAGGUUAUUUCAUUACAUGACGUCUUUUACGCAGGAACCGAGUGUGAUCGUCUGGGCGGUGUGUUCACUCUGCGGGGAUGAUGGCCAGAGGAAGGAUGAUAGACAGACGACAGCUUGCAGACGAAGAUGGGAGCGUUCUACCUGUGAGCCUGGUCGAGCUUAUAUUUUAUGGAUACACAUGCAUGGAUACACAUACAUGGAUUCCCUACAAGGACCCUGCGCAUCAAAAGCAAUCUGUCAUCAAUGUUAAGUAGACAGAUUAAACGAAACGAAGAUAUGACAGGUGUACACCAUAUUUUUCUUUCAUUUAACCUCUGCAUGUUUCCCAGUCAAUAAAUGUUUUUAUCCAUUUUCUUUUGUUGAGAAAUGUCUUUGUACAGCACAAGUGUCGUAGAAGGUGCAUACAUGCACUUUUGUAUGAUGCUUGGCUGCAUGUGUAUCAACCAGCAAACACAUUGUCAGGCACAACUAAUAUGUGAUUCCGUACCAUCAUCCGGACAUAUCA